rnacentral:rRNA from 1 species
UACGUAGGGGGCAAGCGUUGUCCGGAAUCAUUGGGCGUAAAGAGCGUGUAGGCGGUCCGGUCAGUCGGUUGUGAAAGUCAAGGGCUCAACCCUUGAAUGCCGGCCGAUACUGCCGGGCUAGAGUCCGGAAGAGGGAAGUGGAAUUCCCGGUGUAGUGGUGAAAUGCGUAGAUAUCGGGAGGAACACCAGUGGCGAAGGCAGCACUCUGGGACGGUACUGACGCUGAGACGCGAAAGCCAGGGGAGCAAACGGG